CCAAGGGUAUGGCUGUUCGCCAUUUAAAGUGGUACGCGAGCUGGGUUUAGAACGUCGUGAGACAGUUCGGUCCCUAUCUGCCGUGGGCGCUGGAGAACUGAGGGGGGCUGCUCCUAGUACGAGAGGACCGGAGUGGACGCAUCACUGGUGUUCGGGUUGUCAUGCCAAUGGCACUGCCCGGUAGCUAAAUGCGGAAGAGAUAAGUGCUGAAAGCAUCUAAGCACGAAACUUGCCCCGAGAUGAGUUCUCCCUGACUCCUUGAGAGUCCUGAAGGAACGUUGAAGACGACGACGUUGAUAGGCCGGAUGUGUAAGCGCAGCGAUGCGUUGAGCUAACCGGUACUAAUGAACCGUGAGGCUUAACCUUACAACGCCGAAGCUGUU
rnacentral:rRNA from 1 species